CUACCGGGGUUUCUAAUCCCAUUCGCUACCCUAGCUUUCGUUCCUCAGCGUCAGUUACAGCCCAGCAAGCCGCUUGCGCCACCGGUGUUCUUCCAGAUAUCUACGCAUUUCACCGCUACACCUGGAAUUCCGCUUGCCUCUACUGCACUCCAGUCCGCCAGUAUCCAAUGCACUCCCAGGGUUGAGCCCCAGUCUUUAACAUCAGACUUAACGAACCACCUACGAACUCUUUACGCCCAAUAAAUCCGGACAACGCUCGCAUCCUACGUCUUACCGCGGCUGCUGGCAC
rnacentral:rRNA from 1 species